rnacentral:rRNA from 1 species
UACGUAGGGUGCAAGCGUUAAUCGGAAUUACUGGGCGUAAAGCGUGCGCAGGCGGUCUUGCAAGACAGAUGUGAAAUCCCCGGGCUCAACCUGGGAACUGCAUUUGUGACUGCAAGGCUGGAGUGCGGCAGAGGGGGAUGGAAUUCCGCGUGUAGCAGUGAAAUGCGUAGAUAUGCGGAGGAACACCGAUGGCGAAGGCAAUCCCCCGGGCCUGCACUGACGCUCAUGCACGAAAGCGUGGGGAGCAAACAGG